GCUUAACAACAUAUUUUUAAUAAACUUUUAAUUUUAUAAUAGUUUUUGACUUAUAGAAAAGUUGUAAAGAUAGUACAGAAAGUUCUCAUAUAUUCCAUACCCACUUUCUCCUGUUGUUGAUAUCUUAAAUUUGUGUGAUAGAUACACUUGCCAUAAUCAAAAAACAUUAUUAACCAAAGUCCACACUUUAUUCAGCUUUCCUUAGUUUUUACUUAAUGUUCCUUUUCUGACCCAGAAUCCCAUCUGGAUCCUAUAUUACAUGUAAUCCUCGUAUCUUCUUACAUUUCGCUUGGCUGUGAAAUUUUCUCAGACUUAAGGAAUCCUUGUUUUUGAUGACCUUGACAGUUUUGAGAAAUACCGUAGGUCAGGUAUUUUGUAGAAUGUUCCUCAGUUGGGAUUUGUCUGAUGUAUUUCUCAUCAUACUGGGGUUAUAUGUUUUUUGGAGAACAACUAUAGAGGUUUAGUGCCGUUUUCAUUGCAUCAUACCAACGAUGUUCUGUCAAGAUGACUUAUCACUGUUGGUGUUGAUCUUGAUCACUUGGCUGAGGUAGUGUUUGUCAGGUUUCUUUACUGUAAAGCUAUUCUUUCUUCCUUCCUUCCCAUACUACAGUCUUUGGAAGGUGGUCACUAUGUGCAGCCCACAAUUGAGGAAUGAGGAGUUACGCUUUACUUCCUGAAGGAUGGAGUUUCUACAUAAAUUAUUUGGAAUUCUUCUAUACAGGAGAUUUGUCUAUUCUCCUUGUCUAUUUAUUUAUUCAGUAAUUUACCUAGAUCAGUAUAGACUCAGGGAUUUUUAUUUUAUACUUUGGGUUAUUUUUAAAUAGUAUUUUAUUCCCAGGUUUUUUCUCUAUUGAGGGCUCUUACAGUUGUCUCCUGUGUCAAGUUUUUUAAGCCACAUCUAUGGCAUGUGGAAGUUCCCAGGCCGGGGAUCAAACCCGUACCAUAGCAGUGACCUGAGCCACAGUACUGACAAUGCCAGAUCCUUAACCUGCUGCACCACCAGGGAACUCCUCCUAUAGCAAUUUGAUUUACACCAUCACUGUGGGGUUUGUGAUCAGUUCAUUACUUUCUGACACCACGUAUGCUCACUGCUCCAGUCCUGGUAUCAGCUCUUUCACAGGGAGUUCUGAUUACUUUUAUUGGAGAAUGUUUUAGAACACAAAGCUCUGGGAGCUAGGUGUGCUCACUGCUGCUUGAGUAUCAUUGCUUAGAGGCCCUCUCAGCUGACACAGAAAGAAAAUCAUAUAUAUAUGAACUUGUAUAUAGGUACAACUGUAAAUAUUGUUACAUUUAGCCAUCCAUAUAUUAAACUAAGCUUGAAUUUAUUUUUAUGUCUCCUACUCUAAUCCAUUACCAGUGGACCAUUCUAGCCACCUCCCCUUCCCUGUCUGUAUCCUGCCACUCCAGCAUAAGAACCCCGUCUCCUGUUGUCAUCUAUUUACAUAAUUGCCCAAUUCCAGUAUACAUGUCUAGUGGCCUCAGAAUUAUGAACCUGUACUCCUAUUUGUAAUAUAGUUAGAUUCUUUUGUCACAGUCUGCAUUCCAUUCAUGGAUCCCUUAACCUCGUGCUUGGUUUUUUUUUAAACUUUGUAGGCAUUAAGGUUCAUUCUUUGUUCUCUAAAGUUAGGUUUGGACAAAUGAAUAUGAUCAUGUAGCCACCAUGACAGUAGCAUACUGAGUAGUUUUACCACUCUAAAAAAUCCCCUGGGCUUCACCUAUUCAGACCUCUCCUCACACAGAUGAAUCUUGGGUGGCUAUUGAUCUAUUUACCAUCUCUAUUUAAAUUUAACAUUUAAAAACAUUUUAAAAUUAAAAAUUAUUUUUUAAAAUAGUUGGGAGUUCCUGUUGUGGCUCAGCAGGUUUAAGAACAUGACUAGUAUUCAUGAGAAUGAGGGUUUGAUCCCUGGCCUCACUCCAUGGGUUAAAGAUACAGCAUUGCCUCAACCUCUGGUGUAAGUCCUAGAAGCCUCUCAGAUCCAGUGUUGCUGUUACUGUGACUGUGGUGUAGGCUGUCAGCUGUAGCUCCGAUUCAGCCCCUGGCCUGGAAACUUCUGUAUGCUGCGAGUGUGGCCCUAAAACCAAAAAAAAAAAAAAAAAAAAAAAAAAAAAU
rnacentral:lncRNA from 1 species